AAUUUCAACUGAAAAAGUCAUCAACAACAAAGUUGUAUAACUCAUCAUUAUCUAUAACUUUUAUUUUGGUCAUUUCUUCAUCCGACAAAGUGAUACUAACAUUGUUCAUAAAAUUUACACAUCUCUCUUAUAAUUUAUGAAACCAUAUGGGAGAUACGUAAAAUUUUUGAACAAUGUUAAAAUCACUUUGUUGGAUGAAUAAAUGACCAAAAUAAAAAUUCUAGAUCUAGAUGGAUUAUACAAUUUUGUUGUUGAUGACUUUUUCAGUGGAAGUC
rnacentral:pre_miRNA from 1 species